rnacentral:rRNA from 1 species
CCUACGGGACGCAGCAGUCGGGAAUAUUGCACAAUGGAGGAAACUCUGAUGCAGUGACACCGCGUAUAGGAAGAAGGUUUUCGGAUUGUAAACUAUUUUAGACAGGGAAGAAAAAAGACAGUACCUGUAGAAUAAGCUCCGGCUAACUACGUGCCAGCAGCCGCGGUAAUACGUAGGGAGCAAGCGUUAUCCGGAUUUAUUGGGUUUAAAGGGUGCGUAGGCGGAUUUUUAAGUCAGCGGUAAAAUGUCCGGGCUCAACCCGGGCCGGCCGUUGAAACUGGGGAUCUUGAGUGGGCGAGAAGUAU